AACCUGCGGAAGGAUCAUUAAUGAAAUAAACCUGAUGGGUUGUUGCUGGUUCUCUAGGGAGCAUGUGCACACCUUGUCAUCUUUAUAUCUCCACCUGUGCACCUUUUGUAGACCUUUCAGGUCUAUGUUGCCCCAUUUACCCCAAUGUAUGUUAAUAGAAUGUUGUGACUAUAUAAUAUAUACAACUUUCAGCAACGGAUCUCUUGGCUCUCGCAUCGAUGAAGAACGCAGCGAAAUGCGAUAAGUAAUGUGAAUUGCAGAAUUCAGUGAAUCAUCGAAUCUUUGAACGCACCUUGCGCUCCUUGGUAUUCCGAGGAGCAUGCCUGUUUGAGUGUCAUUAAUAUAUAUAUCAACCUUCUCUUGUUGAAUGGUUUGGAUGUGGGGGUUUGCUGGCCUCUUGAAGGGGUUCAGCUCUCCUGAAAUGCAUUAGCAGAACAAACCUUGUUCAUUGGCGUGAUAACUAUCUACGCUAUUGAAUAUUAGGGGCAUUUCAGCUUUCUAACAGUCCUCGGACAACUCAUCAUUAAUGUGACCUCAAAUCAGGUAGGACUACCCGCUGAACUUAA
rnacentral:rRNA from 1 species